rnacentral:rRNA from 1 species
UACGUAGGUGGCAAGCGUUGUCCGGAUUUACUGGGCGUAAAGGGCGUGCAGGCGGUCUGUUAAGUCUAGGGUGAAAGCUCCCGGCUCAACUGGGAGAGUCCUUGGAUACUGGCGGACUUGAGGGAGGCAGAGGAAAGUGGAAUUCCCGGUGUAGUGGUGAUAUGCGUAGAUAUCGGGAGGAACACCAGUGGCGAAGGCGGCUUUCUGGGCCUUACCUG